GGAGAAGGGUCCCUUGGGGCAGGGAGGGCGCGAGGGUCCCUCGGCACCCGAGGCCCGGCCCAGCCGGCAGCCGCGCGGGGUCCCGUUGGGGCCCGUCUCAGCGGGGCCCCAGGUGCCACCGCCACCCCCGGCGCAGGGGAGCCAGCGCCAACCGCCGCACCGCCCCGGCCCCCGCCUGUGGCUUCCUGCGCGGCGGCUGCGGCGGCGGCGGCGCCCGGACGGGCGGCUCCCGGGAGCCCCCACGAGGGCCGGCGCCCGUCCGGGCCGGGCCGGCGUAUCCCGCUCCGUCGGCGGCCUCUGGCCGCUUCCCGGAUGGCGGCUCCUCGAGGUCGGCACGGCCGAGGGCGUGGAAAGAACCAGGCCCGUCCCACGAGGGGACAAAAAGAGGCCGAAGGCACCUGCCGAUGGUGCUGGCUCGCACCGGCCGGGAUGCUCGCGUUGCUCUGGUCCUGUCGGUGAAGCGGGAUGCACCCGGGCAGGGCGGGGACAGAUCUACCGGGAGAGCCGGGCCACCAGAGAAGGGCUGCGGUGGUUCUUUCGGUACUUACGUACGUCCUUCCUGUCUUAAAUUUAAUUGCUGGUAACGAGCUGGGUGCUGGAGAGCUACCAUGCCCGAAAUGCAGGAGCGACGGCACUGCCAUAGGCUGCAAAGACUCCUGCCUCCAUACGUUAAGGCACACAGAGACGCUUUUAUAAACAAAAAUCUGGAAUCAUGAAGCAAUAAAAAACAUGGGAUCGCUCUAACAACAGAAAGCACUUGCAAAACAGACAAACAAAAGCUUUAGGUGUUUUUGAGCAAAGUAGUUUGCGUUUGCUGAAGCUCGAGAGCCUGUAGGGCUUUGCUGUCCUGGGUACACCUGCGUCAGAAGUUUUAUUUUUUUCUUAUAUUUUUCUGUGUAUGUCUUUGUGAAUAAUAUCUCAAUCUAGAAAUCUGUCUCUCCUCCAACUGUCUGGGCUGAACUUGCUCUCCCAGAAGACAUCUGCUCCCGAGACUGGCUUUGAAAUGGAGGUUGCUGUCACACUUGGCUUCUGAGAUACCAGUCAGCUUGGGAAGGAACCUCCGUGCCACACCGCUCCUAGCACAGCCCCCUUUUCCUGUGCAGCCUCCUGAGCACUCCCCUGACAGCCGAAUCAGUGAAUCGCUUUGCAUGUUCAACACAUCCUGGUUUUGGGUGACUUCUCUGGUGGAUUAGAACCUUCUCGAGCUCUUCACCACUUAGCGCGUUCUCAAGGCUGGAGUCUGACAUGCUUCUGGUGGUGAAAAACAGCAGCCGUGUGGGACCAGCACUUCCUUCCAGCUGAGCUGACGCCCUAGCUCAUGGUGCCCGUCCCUGCUGUGCUGCAGCAACCCCCGUCAGGGCUCUGCCAGACGUCCUCCCAAGUCACCCAGCUAGCCAUCAACGUCACCUUUAAAGUCCCUGUGUGUUUACAGCUGGCAGGCUGAAGCCACCUCAAAUCUAUACAUACCAAGUGCAGCAAGAAGACCAGGUGCUUAGGACUGUUGGGUGCCCACAGCCUGGGUUAAAAGUGCUCGGCUCCCUGGCCAAAAAAGCAGAGAGCCGCUUGUCUUGGCUUUCCUACCCUUGGAUCCCCCACUGCAGCCUCCUGUGAGGCCGAUCACAACGCGAAAGCCUUCCGGCUGUUGAAAGUUUGGGUGUCCGAGCCUGGUGGAGGACUUGCAGCAUCCCUUCUGCUCCAGCCUCAGCUAUAGCAGCCCAAGUAACGGAAGGCUGGAGAAACGUUGCAAGCCGAGAAGCGGUUCCUGAGGAUGAUAGACGUUUAGCACCUAUUGACGGAAGGUAUGGAGACUCCACGAGGCACCUCAGGCUGGGCUGGGCAGGGGGGAGACUUAGUGCUCUCCCAAAAUAUUCCCUCCCCAUCACCGCGGUUCCUCUGCCUUCCCCUGUAGCUUCUGCUCUUUCCUGUAGGCAUUGCCCUGUCCGUGCAAGGCGAGGGAGAGGAAGUGGCCCUGUAUUAAGUUGACUUCCAAGGAAUUUGGGUGUUACUAAACAGCAAGCAACCGCUAAGCCUCACGCAGUCCGAAGACCAGUGCAUUCCUAUGUCACUCAGCAAAACUUCCUGGAUUCAGGACUGAAUUUGUGAAAUAUAAGAAGCACAAAUCUCAAAAGAACUCUCAGAUUCAUUUUAAAUAUAUAUAUUUAUCUCUGAAACACAGGGGAAGAGAGGGGAGACGACUCACUGUGCAAAAUAUGCUUCAUCUUUGACUAUCAAAGGUGGCAUCAAGAACAGAUGAAGUACGGAGCAAACAGCAAGUACUUCUGAUGCUUAGACAACGGUUAACGUAUUAACUCUCUCAAUCAAAAAUAAGAUCGCGUUGUUAAAAUAGUGUAACCCUCCCAACCCACAUUUCUAAAACGCUUCUCUCUUUGCUAUCCGGACACUGAUUCUUCUACGGCUGUGGUUACACAGACAUGUGGAGGGAGAAGCUAAUCUCGGAUGCGAACAGCACAUCAGUUGGCGGGCAGCUUCUGUAUUUUCUGUAACUAUUUUUUAAAAAUAAAAUGUCUAACAGUAA